AGGGGUGACUAGUGACAGAGUGAGGAAGGGGGUGACACAGUGAAAGAGUGAGGGAGGGGGUGACAGUGACAGAGUGAAGGAGGUGGUGACUGUCACUAGUCACCGCAUCCCUCCCUCUGUCACUAAUCACCACCUCCCUCACUCUGUCACUAGUCACCCCUUCCCUCCAUCACUCUGUCACUAGUCACCCCCUCCCUCUCUCUGUCACUAGUCACACCCU